CCAAUAGCGUAUAUUAAAGUUGUUGCAGUUAAAAAGCUCGUAGUUGAAUUUCGGGAUUGACACAUCGGUCGUGCCUUAAGGGGUAUGAACUGGUGUAGUCAAUUUCUCACCUUCUGGAGAACCGCGAUGCCCUUAAUUGGGUGUCGCGGGGAACCAGGACCUUUACUUUGAAAAAAUUAGAGUGUUUAAAGCAGGCAUUUUGCUUGAAUACAUUAGCAUGGAAUAAUAAAAUAGGACGGCAUGAUUCUAUUUUGUUGGUUUCUAGGAUCACCGUAAUGAUUAAUAGGGAUAGUUGGGGGCAUUAGUAUUCAAUUGUCAGGGGUGAAAUUCUUGGAUUUAUUGAAGACUAACUACUGCGAAAGCAUUUGCCAAGGAUGUUUUCAUUAAUCAAGAACGAAAGUUAGGGGAUCGAAGACGAUCAGAUACCGUCGUAGUCUUAACCAUAAACUAUGCCGACUAGGAAUCAGACGAUGUUAAUUUUUUAAUGACUCGUUUGGCACCUUAC
rnacentral:rRNA from 1 species